ensembl:lncRNA
CUCAGGGAGAGGAAGCCCCCACCCAGCCUCCAGCCUGGCCCCCAUUGUCCCUGGUCAUGGCCCCCUGUGUAAACCCUGGUGUGGCUGAGGAAGCAGGCCCCUGUCAUCUACUGGACAAGCCAUCUUGUCUACCACAUGGUCAAGUACUUCCUUAAAAGAGGGGAGGGGUCUCGGGUGGGCUCAGGUGGCAAAAGAUCUACCUGCUUUGCGCCCAGCGCCCUCACACUCAUAUGCCUCUUCCCCAGACCUCCUCACCACUAGUCUUCCAGUCUCGCCCCUUUCUUAUCCCAGACCAACAGCCAGCCAUUCACCACCGCCCAGGAAUCAGCAUAUCCUUACCGCAGACCUCUCCCUCUCCCCUCCAGCCCUGCUGGGAGAACUUCACCUCACCACUGACCGUCCCCUGGGGACAGUCCUGAGUACAGUGGUCUACCAAAGAUGUGAAGAACGCUAAAACCAGUGGAGUCCAAGAAGCAUUUGGUCCGGGAUAAUUUCCCUGCUCCUGAGCUGAGACAUGCCUACUCUGGCUGAUGUCGGGAUCCCAGUAAAGAGAAAAGUCCAUUGGCCAAAAAUGAAAAAGACUCUGAAAACCAGCGUGCUGGGUAGCACUGAUGCCACGGGCCCUGGGACUGUUUGCUCAUCUGGGGCACCAAGACCUUUCCAUCGCAACGGCCACGAGAGAUGGGCGAGCAGGCCGGGACCUGGGCGAGGGUAUGGCUUUCCUUACAAACUGUCCCGUCGUUGGAUGCUGUUAAGGACUGAAGCACAGCUUGUUCAGCUGAAGACCCUGUUUCCUCUGGAAUAGCCUCCAGCAUGCGAGACCCCAGCAGAAGGAAUUGCUAAGUGCUUGGGGCUGACAACAGGGAGAAAAACGCCAGCCACCGCCAACAGCUGGGACGUCUCCUCUUUUAAAAGCUCCCAUCACUCCCACCUUGCUUCGUGGGGACAUCUGGUGCAGAUGCUAAAACUCAACUCAGAAAUGUUAUUCAUCAAAUCACCGGAAAACAAGCCUCCAGUCAGCGUUGGUCUACCCGAUUCCAAAGAAGAUAUGAUAUAUACAUAUAUCACACGUAUCACAUCAUCUUUGAGGAAUUAGUCCCUGGAAUGCUCAUGGACUCCAGAUAAAAACACAGCAGUUAUUUUAAACUGCUAAAGAAGGCAAAAUAUUGGAAACCACUUAGAUGUGGAAUUCAUAAAAUGACUAAGGAACUAUUACAUUCUCGAGUAGAGUGAAAUAAGGUUAAAACUACGCUAUAGAAAAUGUUUCUCCAACUCUGGGGAGGACCAGCUAACCUAAGAGAGCAAAGCCAUGGGCUACAGCUCCAUGUCACCAGCGAUCCAUGCAAUCCCAAGGCACCGGACCUCUGAGACCACUCCCAAAGCUGCCCAGGGGUCUGGGAGAGAGCAUGGAAGCUCACGUCUUUCCCCCCAUAUCUUUGUUGUUCAGUCGCUAAGUCGUGUCCAACUCUUUGUGACCCCAUGGUCUGCAGCACGCCAGGCUUCCCUGUCCUUCACCAUCUCCCAGAGUUUGCUCAAACUCAUGUCCAUUGACUCCAUGAUGCCAUCCAAGCAUCUCAUCCUCUGUGGUCCCCUUCUCCUCCUGCCUUCAAUCUUUCCCAAAAUCAGGGUCUUUUCCAAUGCGUUAGCUCAUCACAUAGUAUAG